rfam:Cupriavidus sp. TYMMa02A contig.293, whole genome shotgun sequence.
GAAAGGGUGACCGACCGUGGGGAGGAAGCUUGGAGCGAAGCUGCGAGCCGAGGAACACGAACCGGAUAGAAGGCACUUGGCUACGUCGGUGCCAACUGGCGGCUUCCGCCGCUAGCUCGGGAC